UACGUAGGGGGCUAGCGUUGUCCGGAUUUAUUGGGCGUAAAGAGCUCGUAGGCGGUGUGUCGCGUCGGCCGUGAAAACCUGCAGCUUAACUGUGGGCUUGCGGUCGAUACGGGCAUCACUGGAGUUCGGCAGGGGAGACUGGAAUUCCUGGUGUAGCGGUGAAAUGCGCAGAUAUCAGGAGGAACACCGGUGGCGAAGGCGGGUCUCUGGGCCGAUGACUGACGCUGAGGAGCGAAAGCGUGGGGAGCGAACAGG
rnacentral:rRNA from 1 species